CAGAGGGGCAAGCGUUAUUCGGAAUUAUUGGGCGUAAAGGGCGCGUAGGCGGCUUUUCAAGUGACGGGUGAAAUCCCUCGGCUUAACCGAGGAACUGCCUGUCAGACUGGAAGGCUUGAGACCGGGAGAGGUGAGUGGAAUUCCCAGUGUAGCGGUGAAAUGCGUAGAUAUUGGGAGGAACACCAGUGGCGAAGGCGGCUCACUGGACCGGAACUGACGCUGAGGCGCGAAAGCGUGGGGAGCAAACAGGAUUAGAUACCCUGGUAGUCCACGCCGUAAACGAUGAGUGCUUGGUGUAGCGGGUAUCGACCCCUGCUGUGCCGAAGUCAACACAUUAAGCACUCCGCCUGGGGAGUACGGUCGCAAGACUG
rnacentral:rRNA from 1 species